ACUGUACAUGAUGAUAACUUGGCUCCCUCUACUGAUUACUAUGAGGAGAGAUGCCUAUGUUACCCAAAAUAUUCUGAUGUUACAGC